rnacentral:misc_RNA from 1 species
UCAUCGAAUUUGCUUGUUUUACUUUUAAAGAAAUUACCUAAUGAUAGAUAAUGAUAUAUGAAGUGUAAACCGCUCAUAUCCAUUAAAUACAUCGAGAUAUGAAGUAUAGAAAAAGUAAUGCUUUCUUGAUUUUUGUAUUGAAUAUCAUUCUUUUGAAAUCGUCUGUUUGUAAGUCUAAAUUCCACAAUUAAUAAAAUAGGUAUAAAGUUUGAUAAUCUUACAUUUUUUUGAUUUGUUUCUGAUCAGUAUUACAUUUGUUUUCUUUUUCUUUUUAACAAAAAAUGUAUACCAACAUGUAAAGUUUAUUAAUUUUAAAAUACCAAGUAGGGAAAAUAAUAAUUCGAAUAAAUCACUGUCAGAAACGCAAGUUUGUAAGAGUGAGAAAGGUUUUCGCAUUGUCAUCCACAUGUACCAAAUAGUUUGGUUGUAUGCGUGAUUUUGUUCUGUUUUACUUUUUUCUGUACAUGUUGUGGGGCUGUAUUUUGUUGAAAUCUCACGCAUAAUCAACUGGUUAUCAUCAAAUGAUACUCUUGUUCGAUGAGAAGAGCUCCAUGAGAUGAAUGCCUGGUAUAUAUCACUAAUAUCGCUGAUAAAUGGACGAUUCUAUAAUUCCAUAAUAAUAAGACAUGGAAUGAUUAUAUUAUCUGACUACAAAUGUAAUAACACAGAUGACGACGAACGUAACUUUUCUGGAAAGCCUAAGUCUUUAAUAUAUUGCCGGCAUAUUUAAGAAUGCGCAAAUUUAGAAAAGUUGUAAGGAAGGUUGACGUCCUCACACAUUUGAAUAGAGCCCUCUCUGUAAAUUUUACAGGUAGAGCACAAUACUGCAAACAUGCAAAGUAGUGAGUUUGAUACUCGGACAAGGUGAACGUUCUCACAUUACUAUUUUCAGUAUUUCUAAAGUAAUUUGUCCUGUACCUUUGAUCCAUGUUGGGAAGUUGUAAUUUACUUGUAAAAUUCAGGUCAAUUUUGAUACAGAAUCAAGAAUCGCUUUAAGUCAACUUUCCGCCUUAACAGGUUAUUGAAAUACUGUCCGUAAUUAAGAAAUGGUAUAAAACAGACCCGUGUUUUAAAACAUACAACGUUAAUAACAUGAAAAUCAAUGAAAAGGAAAAUAAAUGAAAUCUGUAACCAGAUAUCGGUUAAUUUCUUAUUUAACAGGAAAUCAUGUUGAUGAUGAUGAUGAUGAUGAUUGCGAUAAUGAUUUUGGUAAUAUCUAUCGGGCGAAAUAUUUCAUUCGUAAAUAUUGAUGGUAUAUAUGAAAUAUUAUUAGUUGUAAUAUUACUCGCGGCAGCUUUCUAACGUUAAAUAAUGGUAACAGUAUCUGUUUUAUGUUGACUGAUUUGUGCCAUUUCGUUAAUUUCGUUCUGUCGCAGCGACACAACAAACGUAGUUAUGGCGCCCCGCCGGAUUUUGCCCCGACAAAUGUGGCCGAACGCCGCCCCGUCAAAUGUCGCCCCAUCGGACGUCAUCCAGCCGGAUGUCUCCCCGCAAAAUGUUUCCCAGUUUAAUGUCAACCCACUAGACCCGCCAAAUCAUAAUAGUAAUUCACUUAAAACGAAGUCGAUGAGGGAUGCGUGUUAGUUAGGUAAAAGAAAUAUGAUGAUCCCUAAUGAGUUGUUUGGGAUGUCAGCUGUGGUCGGGUCUUUCAAACAAUUUCGUAUUGAGAAUACAUAAUUGCGCAUGAUUUGGUAGAAAAGUGAAAGUCAUACAUCUGCAUGUCACAUUUAGGAGUCAUUUGCAAUAAACAAAACAUAUGCUUAUCACAAAGGUGCUGAUUACUUCAACGAAGAAUUAAAUAUGUUGUCAAGCAUAACUAUGUAUGACAGUGAAAAUAUACAUGUUUUUCAAGACAUUUUGAAAUUUCAAUAAAUUGAUAUUAUGCGAUCAUAAGAUCUUGUUUGCAUUUUACAAAAUUCACAAGCUUUAAAUUUAUAAACACACAUUUCGAUAAAACAAUGAUGAUAUAUAACGGUUGAUAAGAAUAAGAAUUUCGAUACUUUCUGUUAUGUGAAUACGUUUUUGUUUUAAUUAACGCUUUCGAUUCGGCAUUAAUGGAUUUUUCUUGAUGAGUAUAUUUUUUUUUUUUGCUAAAACAUUUUUGAAACUGGAAUGUUUCACGAAAUGAACAGAAUGAUAAACAUCAUCCAUUCAAAUAUUCAGGAAAAUUCGGUAUGUUAUUUCUAACGCGGAUCUACAAUUUCAAAACUGUACUGUCUACGUUUUUUUAAGAAUGUGCUUUGUGUUGGAAGAUUUGUUCAGCAUAGAUAAAGACAUUCUCGGUGCAGUUUAUAGAAAUUAAAACAAUGUGUUUGCGACGUGCAGGCUAGAAACCUGAAAAAAAAAACGAAAUAAAUGCAAAAUCUAUUGCUUAAUUAUGCUAUUGUACAAUUUAUCAUGGUGAAUGCACUGAUUGUUUGUCCGCAAAUAGAGAAUGUGCUAUUUUUAGAUAGUACACCCUAUCGGUGACGUCAUUGAUCCUCACUUUAAAAAUAUCUCAUUAUAUAUACUGUUGGCAAGCAGUUGUAAGGUUUCUCUGUAUUAACAGGACAAUUUCAGCCUUUCAGAAAGUAUUUCAGGAAUGGCAAUUAGCUUUAAUUCAACAAUAAAUGUGUCUUUGGGUGAAAACUAUUAGAAAUAUUUGUAAAUGCAAAAAUGACAUGCAAAUUUGCUAGUACUUGUCGGUGUUAUUUACAAUCUGAGUGGUACAAAACAGACUUGUUUUAACAUUGUAUAAAUGGCACAUUUUAAAAAGAUACAAGUUAUAUCCUUUAAAACUAAUGUGUCUUAAAAUCCCUACAUAGGAAAGAACUUAAGCUGAAACUUUUGUGAAACUGGUCCCUGGAUAAAUUACUUAUUUGCCGCGACUGUGUAGCUUUAAUUAAACCGUGUGUUCAACAUCACAUAUGAUUUUGAUAAUUCUUAAGUAAAUAAAGAGACGUGUUAUAGUACAACUGCGCAAUUGCAAAAACAUUCAUUUAUGUAUUUUAUGUAAGCGCAACAGAGCGAAUUGAUUCCCACAAGAACUUUUUCUUGGAUUAUCUUUAGAUUCAAGCGUUCAUACGACAACAACAUUAUUAAAAUCAGGAAUAUGUUCAUUUUAAUUUGUUUCUUUCAGUUUAGUAGCUGCUGUUACCUGUAGACGGGACACGACUGGAUAACGACUCUCGUUAAUAAUGACACUCGCAUAUUUGAUCUCAUUUCGGCAGAUGUCAAACAUCUGUCUUCAAAGAUGCGUUCGGAUCUAUUCAAUUCUCAUGUAGUUUUAAUAUAAGAUGCACUUGUAAGAAACUGUUAUGCAAUAGAAAAAGUGGAAACUUCACAGGUCGCUCAACACGACAAAAACGAAAAUGUUGCAGGUCUGGAUCUAUUCAAUUGAAAUAUAGUUUGUGUAUGAGAUGCACUUGUAAGAAGACAUUGUUAUGUAAGUUAAAAUCUUCACGAGUAUACUCUUUUUAGAGUGAGGCUAUUACUGAAAUUUAAUUCUAAUAUAGUUUGAGUUUAAGAAGCACUUGCUAGAAGAAUCUGUUAUGUAAGUUUAGAGCUUUUUAAUUCAAAUAUAGUUUGAGUAUAAGAUGCACUUGUAAGGAGAAACAUUUAUGCAAAUUAAGAUCUAUUUAAUUCAAAUGUAUUUUUGAGCAUGUUGAGUAUAAGAUACUCUUGUAAAAAGAAAUUGUUAUGUAAGUUUAGAUAUAUUUAACUCAAAUAUAGUUUUAAUAUAAGAUGCACUUGUUUGAAGAAGCUCUUAUGUAAAUCAAGUUAGUUUGCUAUAAUGUAAACUUUCACUGAAAAAGAAAUCAUCAUUGACUGACUGACUUUUUACACUGAACUAUAAAAGAACAAAAAAAAUAAAAGAAAUUACAGUACGUAUUACAUGCAAUAAAAAAAUGUGGAAUAAACUUGAAAUUAUAAAUCAGAUGUUAUUUUGUCACGUGAAUAACAGUUUUGCGGAAUUCUCUGUUUAUAUCUUAAAGUAAAUGAAAUGUAAAAGAAAUCAUAAAAAUACAGCAAACACAGACAUAGGUUGGCGUUAAUCAUAACCAGAAAGGGAUUUAUUAAAAAAAUAGAAAGGGAAACUGGACUUACCUUGAUACUAGAUAAUGUACACAAAUAUGCACGCACAGCUUGUUGAUUGCAGGAGGGAAUUUCUAUCAAGAUUUUUCUUCAAUAAACUGAUGCUCGUGGGCUUCUUUGUACUCAUGUUGUUGCUGGUACAUCAUGUUCAGAUACCUAUAGCAGUGGGAGAAAGCCGAACGGAUCUCAAUCAACCAAAAAUAUCAUAUGCAGCCUCAAAUAUUCCAAAGGAGCUCAAGAAAAACAAUAAAGUUGAAAAUGAAGGAGCUGUGUCCAAAACAGAAGAUGCAUCUAUGAAUCAUCACGAAACAAAGUACAUAACCAAAACGAAUAAUCUAAGUGAUGGAGUUAAGAGACUGAAAGAAACGAGAUAUUAUGGGAAGGACGACGGAAGUGAUUAUAUCAAAACUAGAUAUGUAAAUAGUGCACAAGUUGGUAAAAGAAAAGGGACAAAACCUUUCGGCGAGAAUACGCGCAAAUCUUGUGAAGGAAAGAUGUCAAACGUUUAUGAAGGAAAACAAUUUACUAAUUAAUCCCAAUACAAAAUGUAAAUUUGAUCGCGAAUUUAUGGUCAGUCGGAAUUAUAACUUAACCAUUUGCUACAACCCUAAGGUGGCUUCGGACAACAUAAAACGCGUUCUUUACAUUCUCGACCACAACUUUACUGGCGGCAUCAACGACCUCUCAGCGCAUAUGACAAGACUGUACGGUAGGACAUCAUCGAACAAUUUUCAGCAACUUAUAUCUGAGAAACGCUAUAAUAUCAAUGUAAUGUUGGUCAGAGAACCACUAGAAAGGUUACUAUCUGCAUACAGAGAUAAAAAACCUCGUCGGUAUUACUAUAAAAAACCUUCACUCUCAUUUAAAAAAUAUUUGCAACUUAUUUUAGACGAAAAAAUGAAAAAUAUGGACAGACAUAUUUAUCCAUAUUUUGAAAGGUGUCGGCCGUGUGAAAUGCAAUACGAUUUUAUUAUUGACCCUAACCACUUUAACGAUGAUGUUAAAACAGUAUUACAAGAGAUCGGUGCCAGUAGAAAAGUAAUUGUUCCAAAAAGAAAUGAAACGGGUUAUACUUCAAACCCAAGCUGUAAGCUGUCGAAACAGUAUUUCAGAAAAAUUCCAAAUGACAUAAUACACAAAUUGUGGGAGAUAUAUUAUAAAGACUAUUAUAUUUUUGGAUUCUCUUAUCCAUCAGAUCUGAUGCAUUGAUAAAACUAGAAAUUGUCAAUGUUUUUCCCAGGCGCCCGAUUUGAAAGAAAUAUGUCGUAAAGAAAAGUUGAGAUGAUACUGUAAGAUUAUUUAGAAAUUUCAAAUCCAAAGGUCACAAAUUCCUAUUCCUGAUGUGAGUGUAAUAUCUGAUUCUCUCUACAUGGAUGAAGUAUAGUAAGAAAUCCAGGAAACAGUCAAGUCCGUUUCCUUCACAUAAGUUCUUUAUCACUUUCUAAAUAACCGAUCGAUGUAAAAGAAGUAUUUUUGAUAAACUAAACUGGAAAUUAUUUUUCGUCAUUCGUAGAAAAACUGAAUGACCUGCACGCUUUGUUAAAUCAUUAGUAUGGCGACAUUCCAGAGAUGAAUUUCAUAUCAUGUUGAUAGUAAUAGGGGAAACUUUAAACGUCAAUCAUUGGCUACACGAUAUUGUUUAAAAAAAUAAACAAAACAAACAAACAAAAAACAACAACAGCAAAAAACACGCUUUGAUAGCAAGUAAAUUGUCUUGUUUAUACAUAAUAUUUCUCCCGUUAAUAUAUGCCUGCACCCAAUGAAAAAGUUGUUUUUAUGUAUCAAUACCUGUUUUUAGCUCACCUGUCGCCGCUUG